AUUGAACGCUGGCGGCAUGCCUUACACAUGCAAGUCGAGGGGCAGCACGGGUAGCAAUACCUGGUGGCGACCGGCGCAAGGGUGCGUAACGCGUGAGCAACAUGCCCUAUACAGGGGGAUAAUCCAGGGAAACUUGGUCUAAUAUCCCAUAGUAUUUAGAGGAGGCAUCUUCUAUAAAUUAAAGCUUCGGUGGUAUAGGAUUGGCUCGCGUGACAUUAGCUAGAUGGUGAGGUAACGGCUCACCAUGGCAAUGAUGUCUAGGGGUUCUGAGAGGAAGGCCCCCCACACUGGGACUGAGACACGGCCCAGACUCCUACGGGAGGCAGCAGUGAGGAAUAUUGGACAAUGGAUGGAAAUCUGAUCCAGCCAUGCCGCGUGCAGGAAGACAGCCCUAUGGGUUGUAAACUGCUUUUAUAUGGGAGCAAUAAGGUCUACGUGUAGACUGAUGAGAGUACCAUAUGAAU
rnacentral:rRNA from 1 species